AACGAACGCUGGCGGCAUGCCUAACACAUGCAAGUCGAACGAGACCUUCGGGUCUAGUGGCGCACGGGUGCGUAACGCGUGGGAACCUGCCCUUAGGUUCGGAAAAACUCCCCGAAAGGGGUGCUAAUACCGGAUAAUGUUUUCGGACCAAAGAUUUAUCGCCUUUGGAUGGGCCGGCGUUGGAUUAGCUAGUUGGUAGGGUAAAAGCCUACCAAGGCGACGAUCCUUAGCUGGUCUGAGAGGAUGAUCAGCCACACUGGGACUGAGACACGGCCCAGACUCCUACGGGAGGCAGCAGUGGGGAAUAUUGGACAAUGGGCGAAAGCCUGAUCCAGCAAUGCCGCGUGAGUGAUGAAGGCCUUAGGGUUGUAAAGCUCUUUUACCCGGGAUGAUAAUGACAGUACCGGGAGAAUAAGCGCCGGCUAACUCCGUG
rnacentral:rRNA from 1 species